GACGAACGCUGGCGGCGUGCUUAACACAUGCAAGUCGAACGGAAAGGCCCUGCUUGCAGGGUACUCGAGUGGCGAACGGGUGAGUAACACGUGGGUGAUCUGCCCUGCACUUCGGGAUAAGCCUGGGAAACUGGGUCUAAUACCGGAUAGGAGCCAUUUUUAGUGUGAUGGUUGGAAAGUUUUUUCGGUGUAGGAUGAGCUCGCGGCCUAUCAGCUUGUUGGUGGGGUAAUGGCCUACCAAGGCGGCGACGGGUAGCCGGCCUGAGGGGGUGGACGGCCACAUUGGGACUGAGAUACGGCCCAGACGCCUACGGGAGGCAGCAGUGGGGAAGAUUGCACAAUGGGCGCAAGCCUGAUGCAGCGACGCCGCGUGGGGGAUGACGGCCUUCGGGUUGUAAACUCCUUUCGCUAGGGACGAAGCUUUUUGUGACGGUACCUAGAUAAGAAGCACCGGCUAACUACGUG
rnacentral:rRNA from 1 species